CCUCAUCCCCCUGACCCUCUCACCCAACCCACAGCCCCGCACUCCUCCUCCCUCGUCCACAACUCGACAUCUCUCUCCCGAACAACUCUUCUCAUCGCCGCCACCAUCAACGACGCUCGAUCCAGGCGACCUACCGGCCAGAAUGGAUGGUGCCACGCACACCACAUGGAUCCCCUCACUCUGCUUCUCCCUCCUAUCAUGGGAGAUCCAGCACGCGUGUCCUCCAAUGCUAUCCGCAACCGUCUCUUGUUACUAGGGUUUCGGUAGGAUUGGCCCCGGUGACUCAGUACGGCGGAGGCGCGCGGGGUUGACCAAUCCAUGGGGGCGUCGUAUCUAGCAUCUGUGUCGCCAGAUCCCCCCCUCCCAAAUCCAGUACGGCGGAGGCGCGCAGGGUUGACCAAUCCACGGGGGCGCCGGAUCCCCCCCCCCCAGCCAAACCACGGGGGUUGACCAAUCUAUCUGCAGGAACCUCUAGACGUGAUGGUCGAGCCUCAUAGGAGCGUGGACAUAACUGACGGAAAGUGGUGCCCAGACCGUAUCCAGUUCGUGCAAUGAAUUCACAAGGACGUACUUCUGCAUACCAAUAUUUUAUUUUCUCUUUGCAGAUCCUUAGUUACAUCAUCGAGUUUUCAAUCCAUGCAUCUCUCAAACAGGAAUUUCCCUGUGUACAUUAUUGUUUUAUGAGUUUUACUACAAUGUAACUUUUAUACUAUUUGGCUAUGUUCAGUUAUUAGGAAACUUUUAGGAUCUGCACAUGAAGUAACAGAAACCUGUGCAGAUAAUGAACAUAAUCUUUUAGAUUAGUGCUACUUAUUCUAAGUGUAAAGGAUGCCGAGUUAACUUGGUAUUUUUAACAAAUACGGUUCAACAACAAGCUAUAUUAAAUAACAAUCCAGAUUAAAACAUUUUAACAGAUAGACUAUUUAAUAAAAUCUGCUCGCCUGCUAUUUAUAUACAUAACUAUUGGACAGUGGCAAGACUUCCAUUGUGUGUCUGAACGUGCACUAAUGUUUUCCUGCUAUUUAUAUACAUAACCAUUGGACAGUGAGAAGAUUUCCGUUGUGUGCAUGAACGUCCUUUUUUCUAUCAAUCCAUCUCUUAUCAUCAUACAUGCUAUCAUAUACUAUAUGAUAAAUCUUUUAGAUGCUCACUGUAUAUAUAGGUGCUCAAAUUUUGAUUACAUGGAGCUUCUGUUUGUAGUGAAAAAAGGGUAUGUGCAGUUUUUAGUCAAUGUCUAUUUAAAUCAAUAGAAUUAGCAGGUUAACCCGCUAGAUUUUUUCUGAAAAUCAGUAUACAUAUGUUUUUUAUAGAUGUUUAAAACAUGGACUUGCUCCCACAUGUGUUUGACACAAUAUAUGUAGUAUCUGUCAUACCUGAUGCGGUAUAAUACAAAUAAAUAUAUAGGUAAUAUAUGCACUUUAUAGAAAAUAAAUAGAUGUUAUAUACUACUACCGAAUGAUUUUAUCCAAAUGUUGUUGGUUCGUGCAUACCUAAAUGUCAUGUUUUCUUACGCCACCCAUCUUAUUUGAGUUAUUAGAUUUACAUUAUUGGAUUUUGGAGAAAAUUCGAUGCAUCAAAAUGCUUAGCUUACUCCCAGUCUCUCCUCAUAUCGAGGUUGAAGUAUUAGGUAAUACUAUUGUUUAGCACAUAACUUAUUACAUUAUGAAUUUUGGUGUGGCUUUCGAUUUUAUUUUUGUGGACAUUAUUUUUACACAUGCAGUCAUACCACCUUUCCAUUAUCUACCUCUGAUUAUACCUACUAGCGGUCAUAUCCUUCACAUGGUACAAAUCCUGAUACACUUUAUAGUAUUUUUGUUAUAAUUACUUUCAUGUAAAUCCAAACUAUUAUAGUUACUGAAAUUAAUUGGACAUUUAUUUAAGCCAUUUAACAAAGCGGAGCUCCAUUUGCUAGGGUUCGCAGGUCAUGAGAUGAGGUAAACUAACUUGUAAUAAGGCGUCUAGAGGUUAGUCACGCUGAGCUCCUAUCGCACCGCAGUCGUAUUCUUGGUUUAUGUCGACGGCAAACAAAUACUAUAAUGAGUUAUUACUUAAUUAUUAUGCUUACUUUUUUUCCUUUGAUAUGUUGGUUUUUCUUUUGAUAGCUUACCACAUACUUAUAGUAUAAACAAACAGGAAUUUGGCUUUGUAAAUUAUUUUGCGCCUUUGCAUAUGAUCUGGCCAGAUUUGUACGUAAUGCUGAGGCUUGAAGCAUCACAAAAGCUUGUACAGAAUCAUGUGUAGUGGUUGGGUUCGAAUAUAUAGAUUGAGAUUUUUUUUCUUGCCGAAAGGAUUGCCCUUCUUCACAUAGUUGCAGCCCGUCCACAACACAUGUUUUGUCGCAUGCACGUGUCAUACGCUGUUAGCCUUUGGAUUAGAUGUUCACGUUCUAGUACUCCCUCCGUUCCUAAAUAUUAUCUUUUUAGGUAUUCACGUUCUAGUACUCCCUCUGUUUAUAUUUCUUGAUGUCAUUUCUAGUAUGCAAUCAUAUGACAUGUUUCAUGUAAAUUAAUAUGGGCUGCUAUCAAUUUUUUAAUCUGCAAUUGAUCUAAUGUUUUUACACGGUAGCUUAAUAUCCUCCUUCCUUUUCUAAUAUGCAAACUUCUAAUAUGUGAGGUGCAGAAGUGCAUGAGGUGUGGUUCGCCUUAGGCUCCUCCCACUCGUCGACGGUCUGGUCCAGCGUCACUUAACCGUUGUGACCUGGCCAGUUUGGUUCAGCUUUGAGCUGCCCACCGCAGAGUGGGAGGACGGCAUGCUCAUGAACAUCGAGGUCGGAUCAAGUAUGAUGGUGCACUGCGGCAUGUGGUGGCCUAUUUUUUUUGUAGUGGGUUAUGAUGAUAGAAAUAUAUUGACCCUGAUGUGACAAAGAGUCAGGAGUGCUUGGAGAAGGUUGCCAAGACGGUCUCCUUCCUCGCGCAGCCUGAAGGCUCAUUCCUGCUGUUGCUCACAGGUAAUUCAGUUCUGAUGCAUCUGUUCUAAUACUUUUAUGGAGUUAUAUAUAGGGGCUGCUGAUUGUGUGCGUUUACUAGUUAGAUUUUGUUUGCAAUCAAGGGUGAAUACUAUGAUCGUAGUAUCAUCUCCAUGACUGGAAAGUUUGUGCCUAUACCAUUGCUUCUUUCCUUCAGGCUUAAGCAUUUGGUAUCACAUCUCAUUAGAGCGAGCGUGUGACCUAUGUAGCUGGGAUUACUUUGGAUUCAGCGCAACAUCGGCAGCUUAUAUUUAUAAUUUGGAACCAAACAUCAUGUGCUUAUUCUUGUAUGUGAAUGUUCUCUUGAAAAUGUUAGCUGUAUUCUUUGGAGCUUAUGUGUAUAUAUCUCUGUGUGUGUGUGUGUAGUCGUCACUAGUUGACAAUUUAAGUAUCUUGAUACCUCCUAAAUUUUGUAACAAACAUUGCUGGUGUUGUUAUGUUAGAAGUCAAUAUGUAUCAAAAUUUGUAAUUCUGAAUCAUCUGUUUUCUUUCUCUAACGCUUUUGAUUCAUGCUUCUUUUGCGAGGGAAAGUUCAAAAGGACCGCGCGCUGGAGCUCCUAAAUGUGUGCCCCUUCUACUUCGUUUACUUAUGUGGCGUGAAGACAUAAAGCAAACCUUUGGAGCCAUAAUUGUCCUUUUUGUCAUCUAAAAUAAUAAUGGUAACAUAUUAAUGCAAACAAAAUAAUAUUGUAGCUCAAAAAAUUGUAUGUGAAUAAUGAAUGGAUGCUAUGGAACUAUAUUUGUUA